UGGGCGUGUGAGUGGUGUUUGGAUUGUCCCUACCAGAUGGCUCCGUGCCCGUCCACCGAACGGUCGGCAGGCAAUCCGCCUCGGUCUCGCGAGGUGGUAUGGCUCCCCAGAGGCCGGUUCUUGUGCUGCCUACCCUUUCAAGGGAAGCUGGCCACUCGAUGCAAGCCUCCAUCCGGCGCCUUCCAACGGGCAUAGGAGGACAACAAACCACUCCCUGUGUUCCGCCGAGCCCUCUCGGUCGCGUGGCGCGCGGAGAUGUGCGGUGCUCUCGGACCUAGCGAACGCUGUGGGCGAGGACUCAUGUCCCAGUCCCGAAAAGAAGGUUCGAUAUAAUGCAUGAUGGCUACUCCCGCCCUUCGACCGCCCCUGCGGCGCGGGGGCGAGGCGCGGCGUCACGGAGGAAUGCUACCU
rnacentral:misc_RNA from 1 species